rnacentral:rRNA from 1 species
AUUGAACGCUGGCGGCAGGCCUAACCCAUGCAAGUCGAGCGAGCGGCGGCCGGGUGAGUAAUGCCUGGGAAUUGCCCAGUCGAGGGGGAUAACAGUUGGAAACGACUGCUAAUACCGCAUAAGAUUGGAAAGGCCAGGUGGGAGUGGCUAGUUGGUGAGGUAAUGGCUACCCAAGGCGACGAUCCCUAGCUGGUCUGAGAGGAUGAUCAGCCACACUGGAACGGAGACACGGUCCAGACUCCUACGGGAGGCAGCAGGUGGGAAUAUUGCACAAUGGGGGAAACCCUGAUGCAGCCAUGCCGCGGGGGUGAAGAAGGCCUUCGGGUUGUAAAGCACUUUCAGCGAGGAGGCGUUACUCGCAGAAGAAGCACCGGCUAACUCCGUGCCAGCAGCCGCGGUAAUAC